rnacentral:rRNA from 1 species
CCUACGGGGGGCAGCAGUGAGGAAUAUUGGUCAAUGGACGCGAGCCUGAACCAGCCAAGUAGCGUGAAGGAUGACUGCCCUACGGGUUGUAAACUUCUUUUAUAAAGGAAUAAAGUGAGGCACGUGUGCCUUUUUGUAUGUACUUUAUGAAUAAGGAUCGGCUAACUCCGUGCCAGCAGCCGCGGUAAUACGGAGGAUGCGAGCGUUAUCCGGAUUUAUUGGGUUUAAAGGGUGCGCAGGCGGAGGCACAAGUCAGCGGUAAAAUCGCGGGGCUCAACCCCGCUCCGCCGUUGAAACUGUGUCCC